rnacentral:lncRNA from 1 species
AAGGAGGAGGUGGAUCGAGAGAACGGAAAGAACGGGUGCGUGGAGAACGGUGGAACGUGGUGCGGGAGAGAGGAGCUAAUUACGGCCGUGAUUGAUUGUUGGAUUGUUUUUUUUUUAGGGUUCAGAUAGGGAUGGUUUUCUUGGGGUGCGGGGAUCGGACGGGUGGGACGAGUGCGACGGAUGAACGUACGUACCAAACUCGAAAUUAAGUAGUAGUAAAGAUAGGGUGCUAAAUUAGGCAUUUGCAAUGACAGGUGACAGUUCACGUGGGUGCCAUGCUUUCCUUUUCCGUGACAAAUAGUACUCCCUCUGAUUCUAAAUUCUUGACUCAAAUUUGUCAAAAUAUGGAUGUAUCUAUUCUUAAAAAACGUCUACAUACACGUAAUAUUUUGACAAUAAUUUAGUAUUGGAGGGAGUAGUAUGUAUGUAAGGUUCGUGCUAACCUACAUGUUGACCCUACAAGCAAUUUUUUCUUUGAAAGCAUGCCAAAAUGCCAAAUUAGUCCUUAAAAAAAAGCUAGCCAAAUUAAAGCAUCCGGUUUUGUUCCUCAUCGUUCAUUUCCCUCCCUCCCUCCUUCCCUCCCACCCAUGUUGUCGUACAAUUGUUUUUUUUAACGGGUAAGGCUUCUCAUUUCUCAAAUAAUAGUACAAUUGGGUUUACCUGCCAUUUGCUGCCCAGCCACUAAUUGGUGCUUAUCUUCACGCCUUGUCGCCCCCUUGCAAUGGCAUUCAUCGGUUGGUUAAAAAGGGAAAAACAAGUUUGCAGCACCGGUACAUUUGUACAUCCUUUUCUAUCCACGCAACCACGCGAGGCCGGACGACACGUGCUGAUGCGACUGACGGGAAAGCUGGUUUGGACGGAUGAGCAGAGAGAGAGAACCCGCGCUCGAGCCGCACGUCGGUUUCUUCUUGCAGGAUAAACAUUGCACGUACCAAACGAGCAAAAAUAAGGAACCGGGUGCCAUAUAUAUCCACUCGAUCGGCUCGGACUUUGUCGCCGCCGCCGCGGCUGCUGCUCCUGGCGUCCCGCAGACAGAUUCCCACGAGCCUUGGGCUUCAUCACACGGAUGCCUGUUACCACUCGAUCGACCAGCCCAAAUAGUCUAGCCGUCCGGACUUCGCGUGCGUGCUGCUCAUAUAAUUGUUGGUUGCGUGGGGGCAAUUAUUGACGUACGUGUAGGCGCGCGUACUAGGAUUAAUCUAUCGACGACCACCGUCAUUCACGAGGUCCGGUCGCGUUUGCUAUCGAGCCCAGGCUCCUAGCUAGUUCGACCGGAUAAGGCCGUUCCCGAAUCUAGUCUCAGUGGCAGUAGAAGAACAGUAGCAGCAUUCUGGUGUGUUCUCUGCCAUUGCUCAUGGGGAAAUAGCGGUGUGGUUGAUCUGGUGGAUUUUUGUGCGGAACCCGACAAGCAUGCAUAUUAAAUGGCUUAAAUUUGUCAAAUAAAUAUAAAUGCAUCUGAAACCAAAACGGGACGGAGGAAGUACCAGUAGUAUAAAAGAACUGUGCACAUAAUGCAUGGACGAUGAAAUGGCCUCACAUGGCGAUCGACCGCGCGCGCUUAGGGCGCCGGCACACGUAGAAGAGAGCCUCGUGCUCGCGCGCGAGCUGAGCAUAUAGCACGUACGGUCCGAGCGGCGUCCCGGGCGGGGAUCUGCAGCCUAGGCCUGUCCGGGGCGCCGUCGCAUCGGUCGAUCCAUCGAUGGCGGGACACGGGACACACUGCACACAGCACGAACACGUGCGUGCAUGCGCUAGCUGCAUAUGCCAAAUCUGGUCUCGGUUCACGUUGGUACGUACGCGCUCGAUUGAUCGAUCGAUGGACAACUGACGUAUCGAUUCGAUACGUCAGGGAGGGCUACGUACGGAAAGCUAUAGCUAGCGGGGCCGCCAGAAUCGAGCAGGGGCUCGAUCGAUUCAGAUUCGAUUCGAUCUGGGGUCGAGAAAUAUGUGUGUGACUAGCUGCUGCUAUACGCACGUGCAUAAUACUACUGGUAUGCUACACUUCUCGUUAACUAAGAUGAUCUAUCAGCCGGAGGUGGCCCGUUAAAUUGAAGAGAGGGAGAGAGAAACGUUCAAACUGAAAGGAAAAAAUGGUGUAACUAUUUUCAAACAAAGGUAUUAAAUGUCGAUGGACAUGUCAGAGACAUCGGAUCAAGAUCCGAGGGUCAUCCACACUUUCCCCUCCGUAACGUGUUAUCGCUGGAUUAAAAUCUGACGACCAACAGGGGCGGAGUUACAGCGUAGACAUUGGGUUCAGAUGAGGAAUUGGAUCCGAGCCUACACAUAUGAACCCCAUGAUUAUAGUGUAAUGAACCCAGUGGUUUCCUUUUCUGGCUCCACCCGUGACGACCAAUCACGUCGACUUGUCUCUAACUAAAAAAAUACAGACGACUUCUUAAUAGCAAAACAUGAAAAAGGAAUAUAAUGUCUCUGUAAAAUAUAGAAAGACGUGGUUCUCCGUUAAGAUGUUGUGGUUAUUUCUCUUCUGUCAGUUGACCAUUUUUGUCCCCGUCUGAUCCAGCGCCGCUCCGUUACCGUACCAUGUUUUUUCACGUCAUUAUCCGUCCGUAUUCCUUAUUUGUUUUUGCAUUCAUAUCAUGUCCGUGCCGCUUCCAAACCAAUGGAAAUUGUGAAAUAAAAUAUGGUACUAUAUAAAAUCAUUAUCCGGUCCCGUUUUACAUAUAUGCUAUAUUCCUCAAGUAUGUACAUCGAUCGCGGUCUUGUAUGAUUCAAAAACAAAAACGAAAUAUCAGUAGAGAGCAAGCGUACAUGCACACGCAGGAUAUGCUUUCGUUGGUUAAUUCGGUGUACGUACGGACCACCGCGAUGUCUCUGCGCCCGUCGACGUCACACACGCUUACGUGAGUGCGUGCGUACAGUCGGUGAUUAAUCGAUCCGGAAACGUGCCAAUAUAGUCUGCAGCCGCGCCGGCUUUUUAUACUCCCUGCAAUCAAUGCACCCGGCCCUCUCGUUUCGGCCGAAAACUGCAUACCACGCUCGAUCGAAUCAUCCAAGUAUACAGAUACACACAUGCUUCUCGAUGACUCGAUCGAUGGACUUACGGUAUAAUCGUACAGUAGUUGCUUUCGCUUCCAGACGUAGGUACACGGAACGACGAACCGGGAAAAACGGCCCUCCUGCUCCUGGCUUGGAAUCAUUCCACCUCUGGUGGAAAUCCUGGACCACCCGUACGUCCAUAUGCUCCCUUGCGAGUUGCAGACACGUUAUACGUACUCAUGUAAUCGCUCCGUUUCAUAAAAAUUGACACGAUUUUAAAUCAGAACUAAGUUAAAAUCAUGUCAAUCUUCGUGAAACGGAGGAAGUACCUGACAGGAAUGCAUGCAGGGAUCAGGCACUCCAGUUUGGAGUUGGAACGGGGCACACAUGUGGAAAAAGUUUCGAACUAACAAGGUGGCGACUGCGACCAAAGCCAGAACCAUUUUUUGUCGAGCACGAUCGAUCGACCUGCAGCGCCAGAGCCACUAGAGGGCCCAGAUCAGCUUGCCCCGCCCCAAUUCCAUGCGUUCCGGUUGUUUCCUUUCGAGCCCCCUGCCCCAGUUGCCUGCCCUUUUAUCUCUCAGCGAUCAGUUACGUUCAUGCAUUCUUGGCCACACGUACCUACACUACAAUCGGUACUACUACGUACAUGCGAGAUAGCUAUGUCCCGAUCGAGCCUGCAAUUAACGGCAACUCGACCGAUCAAUCUGCAAGUAGAGACAGUAAUCUCGAAUUUGGUUCAAAAGCAGGCAGCGAAUCCUGGAACGACCAAGUUACACGGUACUCCUAUGUAAGCUAGUACUAGUACAACUAGUAGCAUGCCACCGGUGGAUCACUCACCUGGGGAUACAAAACCGUUCUCCUUCGAUUAGAGUCGUCUGCAUUAUUGACAGUUUCGAUGGACCAGGCAGACAGAAGCAAAGCCUGGAUGCGCGCGGGAUCCACUUGUCCAGCAAAAGGGCACGAAUCGGGGAGGUCACAGGACUUAAACAUACGAUAGGCCACGCGAGCCAAAGGCGUGCCGUACUGUGCUGCCCCUGCCUGGCCUGUCGUGUGAUGUGACAGAAAAAAAUUAAAGGGAGCGGCGAACCUGCGUUUCAUGAUCAUUGAUAGAUGGAUGGGUGGAUCGAGCUAGUAUUAAGCUGGUUGUGGUGUGUGUGUGUGGAGGGGGGUCUGUCUUUGAAAAGUCGACGCUGCAUGCGGACGUUCAGUUUCAAGUGGCGUGCAAGAUGUUCCUAGUGAAAAUGUGAAAUCAUGGGGGAAAUAGGCGAAGUUUGCAGGGUUGAACGGCACACCGCGUUUGGCUGACGGCUCUAUGCGCGGAUAUGAUGUUUUCUUUUUAACGAAUAUUCUGAUAUUUUUCAAUACCAAAACCGUAUUCGGAGUUAGCUGGCGUCUGAAUUUUAAACAGAAGACUUAAAUCUCCGGACUCUUGAAUUAAGAUCUAAGUGUCAUCCCCACUCUCUCUUCUCCCGCAUGCUGUUGUUGGAUUAAGAUCCAAUGUUCAAACACGUCAGCUGAUCGCUAACUAAGAAACAAGCGACUUCUUAAUAGCAAACCGUUUUCUGAAUCCCCACAUUCGAUAAUAAAAUUCCACCGGGAACCUACCAUGCUGUAUGCAGAUAUCGACCUUCUUUUUUUGGAUUGUGAUAAGUGUAUUUUCAUAGUUUAAAUAUUGUUCACGGUGCAAAUUCCGCCCUUGCGUGGCGGGUUAUUGGACAUUCAACUGUGGAUACCGAGCUUAGCAAAUUUUUGUCGAACUCUUUUUGGAAUGGAAUGGAUUAAUACAAUUUGACUAAGAGUCAUCAUUUUUAUGGUUUAGGGUGGUGGCUGCACCCCAAAACCUACCAAGGAUCGAACCCCAGGUUUGACCCUCGGCGUGUCUCAUUUGAGCCGAAUUUCUUUUGGCAGUAGGAGAUGCAAUCCGUUCACGCUUCACACUGAAGCGUCAGUGACUUCGUCGAUCUCAAAACGUUUUCACGAUUCUGGUCAUCCGUGUGAGUGUGUGCGCACGGCGGUGUACGUCGUGUGUGAUCAUUGUUCCUAAAAUAAAGUACUUCCUUCGUCUAACAAAGGAUGUCUGAAUUUUGAUUAAAUUUGAAUGCAUCUAUACAUCAAGUCAUGUCUACAUACAUCAACAUUUUGACAAACUUGAGACAUCUUUUGCUGGACGGUGAAAGUAUAGGAGCCCGGGAAUAGCCGCAUCUUAUUACAAGCAAUUAAUAUUUCGACCCUGAACCAGUUUGAGCUUAACCCCAGUGGAUCGGAAUCGGGUUCACUGAGCGAGCGAGCGCUCCAUUACAGAUUUUUACAGGCACUGAGGCACCGUCUCUUCCUGCUGCCCCCCUCCGGGGAGCUAGCUGCGUGCUAUGGACCGCCCAUUCGUGGAACGGGCUGUACCCACCAAUACCUACGUACCUGCGCGCCUGCCAUGCCACCCCUCUGCCACGGGGGGCUGUCGGCUCCAAAGAAUCAUGCAAUAAUUACCAGCUUCUUCUAUCGGCGGCAUACAGAGGAGAGGAUUGAGCUUUUGAGCAUCUCGUGUGCAGAGAGAAUCUCUCUGCCCGUUCGCGCCAGGUGGAUGUAUUUACUUGCGCCAGGAGCAAACGAGCAACUCGUGACCGCCUACGCACGUUUCCCCGACUAGACAAGUCAAUUGGUGAAAAUUGGUGAAAUUGGCAGCUAGCUUAUUUAUCCCUUUAUCCAUUCGCACCCACCCCACCCCGGCCACCCUCCGCGCUGCGCAUGCAUGCAUGUCCUCGUGGGCUCUCGAGGACUUGAAGUACGUACGUCGCAUGCAUGCAGAUAAGACGGAGCUAGAGAGAAAGCCUCUUCUUUUCGCUCGUGGCCCGGCAUGUGCAUGCCAAUGGCAAUGCCAGCGUCCCAGUCAGCUACUCUCUCCGUUCCAAAUUCUUGCCUCAAAUUUAUCCAAAAAUAAAUAUAUUUAUUUUUUAAAAACGUUUAUAUACAUGUAAUAGUCCGACAAAAAUUAUGAAACGGAAGGAAUACUGACCAUAGCUAUGGUCAGUACAACUCCUAGUGACAAGUGCAAGCAGGGGAAGUUCAUACUCUAUGUGGGAGGUGCAAUGCAUCUCUCGCUCUAAAGACGUGGUACUCCUAGACUACAGGACUACCACGUACUGGAUUCAUCGAGAUGUGAUGGAACGGUGUACCAGGGUGCGUGGCAUGCAUGUAGACGCCGGGCCGAUCGAUGUAUGUCGAGAGCGGGAUAUGGACAACGAAAAAGGGUGUGGGCAGGGUAGGUGUUCGAUCAAAAUCCACGGACAGUUCCAAACUGAGGAGACCAUGGGGAAACUACUGGACAUCGGGGGUAUAGUGUUCACGUGACGUCAGAACUGGGGAGAGCUACACAACCUCAAGUCGUCGUCUUCUGGUAAGCAAGAGGACCCUUGUUUGGGAGCGCAAUGCAAGUGCAGAUGUUGUGCAGGCGCAGCAGAGACGUGACCCUUGCAGAAGAAAACGCGAAGAGCCGGGUAUAGUGGAUAUGUGGAUGCGUGAAUUAUCGUGGGCCGGGCCGCUUCAAAGCCUGGUAACGCGUGUCGUCGUGGCCUGGCCCAGAUUAUGCUGCUCAUCCGUCCAGCUCGCAAUACAUGAAGAGAAGUUCAAAAACCCGCUGUCCACUUUUGCAUUUAUCCAACGUUUCCUUGAUGAUUUGUCUCUCAUUCGUGAUGUUGUCCAUGCUGUGACACCGGAGCCUCCUCCUGGUGGUGGUCGCCUUGUCCCGCCCACCAACCGCUGGUCUCCUCCGUCGGCUGGUAUGUGUAAAAUUAAUGCGGAUGCUGGAGUUGCAAGGUCAGGUGCAGGUGGUUCUUGUGCUGCGGUCUGUCGCGAUGAAUGUGGAAGAUUCAUGAGAGCCUCUUCGAUUACAAUCGAGGGCAUGACCGACCCUACAAUACUUGAAGCAUUGGCAUGUAAUGAAGGCUUGUCUCUGGCCUUGGACCUUAACAUCUCAAAAGUUUGUGUUGUUUCGUACUGCUUAACGGUUAUCAAGAGUCUACAACAAGAUGAUCUUUGCUAUUAUAGUGCGAUCAUUAAGGAUAUUGUGGCAAGGAAGGAUCAGUUCCGUGAUGCUGUUUUCAGACGUGAGAAGAGAACUCUUUAUAGAGAUGCUCAUAAUCUAGUUAGAGCGGAGUUACCGCUUUCUGUUGGCCAUCAUAUUUGGCUUUUAAGUACCCCAUGCAUUACUUGUAUUCCUGUUCAAGUUGGUGUUGAAUAAAGCUGGCCUUUCCCCUAAAAAUAAAAUAUCCGUCCAGCAGAACUGAAUCCCCAAUAGCGCGGUUACAAGACAAGAAUGAUUAUGUAAUUAUGUUCCUUGUUAUCGUUUCACUUUGCACCACAGAAAGAGUGCUCUGUUUGGCUCCACCAAGGCAAAAGGAAAGAGAAACAGGAACCGAGGAGUGUCUCAUUGUCAAUUACUAAUUCAGCCAACGAACCCAUAAAACAUGUACCGACGCAAAUGCAAUUCAUCAGAAGUGUUCUUCAAGGAAGAACACAGACAGGGUAUCGGACUACCGGUGACUAUGUUUGGAUAUCUUACAUGCUCAGAAUGCUGCGGGCGAGUUAACUGGGAAAUAAUUGAAGAUGAAGAAAGGACACAGCAAGUUACAUAAGCGGCAACAGAUUUUGCUAGAGUGGCACAGCAGUGGCAGGUGCUGGAACAUGCACCUCAAAUACAAUCAGGAACUCGAACUGUUUAUAGCUUUGGACACUUUCUUCCAUCGCAAAACACUUCGAGUUUGUUCUUAUCAAGCAAAUGGUUUUCGAUUAGGCCCAGAUAUGACAUGGUGUUAUUACAUGCAUAACAGCGCUGGCUUGUCAAGCACCACUGGCAUACAGGCGAGUCCACUCCUUCGCUGCAAAGCAAAAAAAAAAUUGACAUGUUAGGUACAAAAAGCAAUGAAAAGUGGAGCAAAAUGACAUGCUAGUGUAUCAAAGUGCAGUGUUAGCGUGCGGCUUUGUUGGCUGAAUUUUCAGUUACCUGUCUCGACAGCUUCAGCUUCAUUGGAUUUCCAGUGUUUUGCCACGUUUUCUGAGAGCGGAUCAUCUGGAUUCGGAGCGCUCAGCAGUGCCUGAAUGCUGCAGACCAAACAUUGUAAAGAGGCAAAAAAAAAAGAGUAUACAAUAGUGGAUACAAGAAGCAACCCUCUGGAAAUACGAUAAUAUGAUACGAUCAUGAACUAUAAUGAAACUAUUUGGCCAAACAUGCCACGGAAGACAGAAGAGGUUGCUACCUCAAAAGAACAGUACGUAUCUGAAGAGCUGGGCUCCAUUUGUCCUUCAGGAUAUCGAGGCAUAUCCUACCAAGCUGCAGUGCAAGUCAAUCCGAAAUGAGAAACUGUUAUCGAAUGAAGUUCCAUUGAGAAUAUCAGUUCCCUACCUUGUCAAUGUUGGGAUGGUAUAUUUUUGUGAGAAACCUAACCUGCGUCAGGAAUAACCAAAGAGUGAUGUCCAUCAGAAAGAAUCACAACAGAGACAACAUACAGAAAAGUCAAAUAGAAUUGUGUAACUACUUUGGUUAGACGACAGUGUCACACUAAAACUAAAACAACCAUGUUGAUAUCCGUAAGAGUAAAACAGUCCAAGGACAGGAGUUGAGAACAAAAUAUUCAGCUACCUCUUAUUUAACAUGAUGGAAAUUACUACUCCCUCCGAUCCAUAUUAAUUGUCGAAAUAUUACAUGUAUCUAGACAAUUUUUUAGCCAUAGAUACAUCCAUAUUUGGGCAAAUUUGAGACAAUUAAUAUGGAUCGGAGGGAGUAUUAGUCUGAGUCUCAGAUGAUAUAUCACAAUGUCAGUACACUCCAAAUAUAGCAUUGCCAAUUAAGUAAAGUAAAGUACGGAACUGUGCAAAGGAGAUUAGUUAAGUGAACGGAGAGAGAAAUCUAGUAUGGAUACGAAAAGUAUUAACACAAUACUAAACAUGGGCAUUCAGUAUUCCUGAUCACAAAGAUGGUAUGCAAAUCUAUUAAUGGUACAUAUCAACAACAAACAUGGGCGCUGCCCAAAAUAAGAUGUCACAAUAAAUUGCUGGUUUCGGUUAACCACAGGCAUAAUUAAACGUCCAUCCCACUGUCGCACCAUAGCAUGAUAAAAUCAUUGCGAAGAUCGCUCUGCCAGAUUUUGAACUCAAAUUUCAGUUACAACUUACAACUAGGAAAUGAACCAAAUUCCACAUCAAGGAGCCUACCGGGACAAGAAAAUCCAUCACAAUAUGUGUCAAACUAAUAACUUCUUAAACAACCAUCCACUAAUACUUGAUCAAAAAAUUACUUUUGGAGCAGCCAUCGGAUAUUCCUCAGGUAAGAAAAGUUCAAGCUUGAAAACUCCACCUGUCCAACACAUAUUAGAAGAAAUAUCAGGAGGACCAGACACAGACAACUAAACAAAAUAAUGUUUCACCCAAUUAAAAAUGUCAUAAGCAAAUACAGUAUACAAAGAUAAGUAAACCAAGCUUAAAUAAAUAAGAUAACAUAGUGACAAAUGUACUGUCUAACAAUAGGAAAACAGGUCGUUCUGUGUACCAUUUAUCAUAUACAUGCACCGCAUUUCAUUACUCCAUGUUGCAUGGAAACAUGGUAGAUAGUUCCUUGUGCCGUAUAUCAGUAAACUUCAGUAAUCGCAAAGGUUAAGGAAACCCAAGACAUUCAAUUCCCAUAGGUUACUGAUAUAUGGUACAGUUGUAGAUCUAGCAUGUUAAGGAAACUACAAACUUGUGCCCCAUAUCAUAUCUAAACUAAUAGCAGGUAUAACUGUUGAAGUAUAAGGUGAAUUGCCCUCAUUUCUCCAUCAGCUUAGGCUUUUAGGGGCACUGGUUCGGCCCAUAUGCAACUCUCCAUGGUAUCCGAGCCAAGAGGUCCCGAGUUCAAGCUCAAUAUAAUAAAAAGGCACUUUUGAUCCAUGAGGGGGAGUGUUGAAGUACGAAAUGAAUUGCACUCGUUUCCCCAUCAGCUUAGACUUUUGGGUGAACUGGUUCGGCACAAGCAACUCUACAAAAGGCAGUCUUCCUAUGUGGAAUAACUUCUACAAAUAAAAAACCAGGUUCACUAGAGCUUAAGAUAACCGAUGAAAUGGACUUGUCAAGCUAUAUUUUGUGAUGGAUUCAACAAAGCAGAAUCUCAAAGUAUAGAAUCCAAAAGGCACAGAAGAGUACAAUUACCACUGGAACAGCUGGGUACAAGAUGGUCGGAUUGCUGGUCUAGCAAACAUAAGUUUAGAAGUGUAUAGUUCCGGCAGCACUAGAACAACACCUUUAUGUGACCAUCCUGAUAUGAUCAUCCAUCUGUGAUGUUUUACUACAUAUUUGCAGCAUUUUACAAACAAAAAGAGCCAUAGAUACGAAAAUGGGGACGCGGUGACCACAGUUACAGUCCUAAAUUGCCACAGAACUACGCAUUCGUGCUCCAAAGUAUUACAGGGUUAUCGGCAUACGAAACAUUCCAACAGAAAUAAAAUGAAAAGGAGGUUUUACCUUCAUAAGGAGACUGCGCCGGACCAAGGACCAUGACAUUGAAGUAGCGCAUGUUCUCCUCCGACGGCGACGCGCUAAUCCCCGGCGCUGCACGCACCCCCCCAACACACGAAUCAGCACAAACAUCCGAGGCUCGAACGCGGACAACACAACAGGAGCAUCGAAUUCUAGGAAAACGAACCUGGUUCGCUGAGCAGCCGCUGCGUCUCCUGCAGCAGAUCCAAAUUCCGAACAGAUUAGGCACCACGCACAAGGAAUAACCAGACGAUAAGGUUAUCAUAUCGCGUUAGAGUCUCAGAAACGGCUGUAGAUCUGGGGGGGUGAGGGGCGAUCGGAUCGCGGGGUAGGGCGCGCGCACCUUGAUGAUCCGGCGCGGGAGGUUGCUGUUGGCCAUGGAGUCCGGCCGGGGCUGGAGCGAGAGCCUAGAGGGGAGGGGGGGAGGGACCGCCUCGAGCUUCGCGCGGCGACGGAGGAGAAGACAGCGCGAGAGAGGUCAAAGGAGUCGUCGAUCUGUCGGGGAGGGCGAGCCGGGGGAGGAGGCGACGAACGAACAGAAAUGGGUCAGGGUCCGAUACUGUGUACCACGUAUUUAUAAACUCCACGCUACAGCCGCUGCUGCUGAUAUUUUCCUUUUCCUCUUGAGCUGGUGUUUUCGUUUUAUACUCUACCGACCUGUUUGUUUGUCCUUCUAUUUCAGUUUUUUUGCAUCUGGCAAUCUUAAAAGCAUCUUUUCUGUUUACACGUGAAGCUGAGAGGCACCUCCGAACAUGCUAAACACUGUUUACACAUGAAGCUGAGAAGCACCUUCGGACGUGCUAAACAGAAAAAGUGCUUUUGAGAUUGCUAAAAGUACCAAAAACUGAAACAGAAGUCCAAACAAAUAGGCCCAGAGUCUGCUGGAUUGUGAAUUUGAAUACGCACACGGCGAAAUCAAAAUACGAAGUCAUGGCCACUAUGUUUAAAAUAAAAUUCGUGUACUUGGACAAAACAGAAGUUGUUCGGUGAAUAAAAAAACCCUAGAAAUGAUUUUCCGACGUAAUAAACGGUAUAAUAGUACUACUAGUAGUACGAGGGCUGCUGCAGCGGAGAUUAAAAAAAAACGGUGUUCGUUUUAGGUGAGCCAGGGAGAGCAUCUCUCCACGCGAAGGGAGCACACAAUUUAUGCAUGUGCAGAGAGAGAGAGCACGGAGAAGAACAACCUUUGGGUUUGCCUAAUUGCAACGGCCAACUUGUGACUUUGUGUUGUGCGCGCUCGUCGUGGAAGGAUCUCAGGCGAAAAGGAAGGUGGGGGAAAGCUCGAUUAUUCUCCGCAGCUUCAAUCCCACGCUAAGCCGCCUGGUCGAAAAGGUUUGGCUGGCCAAACCGGUUUUGCAUGGUACUCCGUAACAUGUUUUUCAAGUUUUUUAGAACUUUGGAGGAACUCGAAACAAAUUGAGAGCAUACGCUUUCUAAGAGUUGAAAAGUAUUAUUUUCGAAGCACGGGCAGUCGGGCACGGGCAUCAGAGCAUCUCCGUUGCCAGUCGCUCGAAGCGAAGAGAAAUCACGCACUUCCUCUGCUACCGAAGCGAAGGCAGGAACAAGAACAACAGCGACGAGACACAGCCAGAAAUUCGGCAUAGUAUUUGCUCAGGGCUAGAUUCCACUGUAUUCGCUGUAAUCUGGUAAAGCAUGUCGCAUGUGCCCAGACUACAGGAGGAUUUCAAGACAAGUAUCCAGUCCUGUCUUAUUUACAACAGAUAGCGUGCAAAACUAUGCUCAAGAAUCAAGAUAGAUAAAUAACACUGGAUUUCCCCAGUACUUGCUACUUCACCGAACUACGGAGUACAACUGGUAAAGAAUAGUUUCACAAGUCGGAUCCUGAGAUCACAAUGAAAGAGAAGAUACAACAGGGAGUAUUAAAUCUGCACAUGAUCACAAGGAAAUCCAGAUGCACAUGAAUCCAGACAAUAGGAAGAACAGGGAACAGUUUGACAUAUUUUUUCUAAUAAAACAGAAGGUCAGAGUUGCAUGCCUACAUUGUCAACAAAAUAAUAGAUGAAUUGCACGAACAUACCUCAACGACUCAAUGUCAACAUGGAUUUACACUAACAAUUUUUAGUCUUUGACCUUUCAUACUCUUCAGAAUUAAUUAUUACCAGACUAAAAACUACAAUGCACCUAAGAACACGAGCUUUCGCUUCAGAAUAUCCCAAGGAUGGUGGGGGCAGGUGGAGCACGCCAUCAUUGGAGAGCAAGAGCAACGCCAUGUCAUUAACUGAUCAUCUUCAAAUGAUAAUCUGUAGAAGAGACAAUGGACAAGAGUCAAUUGAUCGCUUCACCAAACAGUAACAUUACAAAUUUGCUAUACAGGCUCCAAACAAACUGAUUUUCUAUCAGUCUACGCUUAAACAUAGCAGUUAACAGGGGCAAAGCUUAACACAGGCCCAUCAGCAAUCAUGCAGAGAACAAGGCAAGGCAGAUCAUCCAUGGGAAUCACACAACAAUCCACAAGGAAGCAUGCAUUACAUUCUUUGGAAAGCCAAUCAAGAGAAAUCUGGGUUCAGCGAUCGGAAAGAUUUACAAUGGAUAAGAUAUGUCAAAAUUUCAGUACUGGAAACUUCAGUUACAAAGCAAUUUGAUAAAUCUUACAUGCCAAGACAAGUAUAGAAGAUAUAUCUUUAUAUAAUAAUACUGACUCGUAAUUGUUAGGCUUACAGCAAAAAAAAGGUUAAGUUUCAUUAAACAAGCUUAUUUAUCGGUCUCUGAGGAGCUGGGUUACCUGUAGAUAAAUGGGACCAGAAACUAAGAGGUUACCUGUUGACUCAAGCUUAUGCUUAUUUUGGCGAUACACGUACUCUUAGGCUGGACAUAAUUCACCCUAACGAUUCUCACUAAGACAUGAGAAAGGAAUUCUAGUACGGAAAGGAAGUGAAAACCAGCGCAUGUGCAUCCAAGUGACUCCUAGUGAAACAGCACAGAGAGUGUCCCAGAUCGAUUUUAACUCUGAGUCACCAAGUGGUUCGUCGGUAUCAAUUUGAUCCUAACAGAUUCCAGGCAAUACCAUCAUAUGUCACCCAGUCAUGAUUUCCAGGAAAAGAAUAUAAGUAUUUUCAUCAUACAGACAGAAUUGAAGAAAAACUAUUAUUAGACCAUACAUUAUGGUCUUUCAUUUGUCAUGACAAAAAUGUACUCCCUCCGAUCCAUAAAAGGUGACGCCCAUUUUGUACUAAGUUAGCACAAAUUUUGUACUAGGUGGGCGACACAUUUUAUGGAUCGGAGGGAGUAAUAAGAAACACUAAAAGCUCAAGAUAGAAACUAUGAUUAGUUAGUUCAAUCUUUUAAUAACACCUAUGACAUAACAGAGCUGCACAAUUAUAAUUCUGUAAAUUUUAUCACACCCAAAAACCCAGAGAACCAAACGAUAAGAUACAUAAGUACUUAAAUCUACAAUCAUAACGAGAUGGUCAACAUAUCUCAUCAAUGCACAAAAUUAAAUAGAAAAACACACGACGAAAACAUCCACCAAACAUUAUCUACUGAAGACACAAAAUAUAAAUAGAAUCUCACAAAGCCUACACCAGGAUAGAUCUUAUAUGUGAAUAUCAAUGCUCAACAGGACCGAAAGCCUUAUUUAUGAAGGUUAUCGCACAUUUGGGCUAAGGCCAUUGUAACAUAAAAUAGUCCAAAAUGCACAACAUAUGGGGUGGUCGGACUUCGGCAACGAAACUUCAGACAUACUCGCUAGAUUUUCCGAAGCAACAGUAUCUAAACUUUUUUGUUGCUAAUCCUCCGCAGCAACUCGAGCCAAUUGUUUACCAAGAUCCUUAUCGAGAUUAGCUAGAUUAUUAAACCUUGACUGUAGAUAAACGGACAUGUAUGUAACAUAUUGCUCAGAACAAUCAAGUCGGGCUCACCCAAGCUUGUUUACACCCAUAUGAAGGAAAGGCUUAUUGAAUUGCAUUGUCAGGAAAUCAGCACUUCCCCAAACAAACUGAAAGUACCUUUAUUCCACAACCUAUAAACAUCAAUGGAUAUACUCAGAACACAACAGCUUACAUGUGUGGACCUUCCCACCAUUAAGGCCAAACAUAGUAACAAUAAGUUCCACUUAUUAAAAUGUCAUUGUAUACAAGAAUGUCAGAUUAAAUUAUGCCUCUACACAAGCAUACCAAUCCUGUCACUAUCACUGAAAGUCUGAAACAUUAACUAACAGCCAACAUCAUGCCACAUAACUUGUAAUUUUAGCACAUCAACAUUAGCAUUACAGAAACAAUAGUAGCCACAGAUCACAUAAACGAACAAAAACAAUCUACAGCAAUGUUCUAAACUGAAAUGCUAAAACAUACUUUACCUAAAACCCUCGUCCGCAUCAGAGGUAAUUGGAGUUGGAAAGGAAAGGCAGCGCAGCAACGGAUGAAAUCAGCUCCACUCCACCAGCACCAUUGGAUGCAGCCCCUCCGCUCUUCUUCGUGCGCUUCACCCUUGCGAGCUUCACGUGCGCAUCGACGAAGUUCUCCAUGCGCUUCACCUCCAGCUGCUUCAGGAAGUCAAUUCGCUCGCGUUCCAUCUCUAGCGAAUGCUUUUGUUUCGCACUCUCCACGCGCUCAUACAUCUCUGCAAAAGCCUCAAUUGCCCUCGCCAGCUCGCUGACACCACUAUCCCCAUCACCGCCAGCCUCGCGACGAAAGGGACGCUUGUUGCUACCGCCGGAGCGCGCCGACGAGACAGAACGCGACGGUGACCUCCGCAAGUUGUCAUGGUGGUUGUUGUUGUUGUUACCACCAGGAUGAUCACCAGAGUCCUCCGAAUCAGACACCGCUGCAGCGGCGGCAGCGGCUUCCUGCUGGAUGAACGCAGCGGCAGGGAGCAGCGCCCCGCGGCGGUAGCUGGGGAGGGGCAGAGCCAUGGGCGGGGGCGGGGACGGCGAGGAAGAAGGCGACGGGUACUUCCUCGCGGCGGUAGAAGAAGGAUGGACGGGCAGGGCGAGGUGCGGGGCCAUCGCCGGCGAGGGCCGCUUGUUGGCGGCGGAGUUGAGGGUGGGGCCGACGAGUCGGUCGAGCUCGUCGAAGAAGCUCCAGCCCGACGGCGCGCCGCGGACGCGCUCGGCCUUGUACUUCUUCUUGAGGGUGUCGACGCGGUUCUUGCACUGCACGUCGGUGCGCGGCGGGCGGCGGCGCGCGGCGGCCCCGCGGCGCGAGUUGACGGCGUUGGCCACCUCCUGCCACUGCUUCUGGCGCAGGUUGCCGCGGUUGAGCUCCACGUAGCGGCUGCCCCACGCGUCCACCAGCGCCGCCGUCUCGCCCUCGCUCCAGCAGUCCUCCCGGUAGGGCAGGUUAGGGUUGGGCGGCGGCAGCCUCCCAAACCCUCCCCCUCCUCCUCCUCCCCCUCCUCCCGCCGCCGCCGCAGCAGCAGCCGCAGCCAUCUCCCUCACCUCCAUCGGAACCAGAUCUCGCAGGAGCAAACCCUAACCCUAGCUAGCCCGCCCGCCGAGAGAAGAGGACCGAGCGAGCCUCGGGGAAGUCGCGCGUGACGGUGGGCUAUGUGAGCGGUGGGGGGUUCGGGGUUGGAAUAAAAGGACACGGCGAGGGAAGGGGGGAGGUGGGGUCGCCGGCCGCGAGGGGUCCGGGUUCCGUCCGUCACGCACGCGGCACGUGACGCGUGACCGGCGAGGGGGGGGCGGCAUCGGCAUGGCAUAUCUCGCUCGCUCUCGUGUGUCGUGGGUGACCGGAUUCGGAUCGGAGACGUGCCGCCGUUGGAUUGCGUUUGACCGGGUAACCGGCGAUUACUUUCGGGUUUCGGAGGGCGGGUGGGAUAAUGACAGCCAGCCAGGCACAGGCAAAGCAGAGCGCGGCGACAGGCGACAGCCGGAGACCGGACGGAAUACGGUGGCUGGCGCGGGGGUGGGAAAUUACCGCGUUGCCCCUACCCCGGGGAGCAGGCCGGGGCGGCACGCGGCAGGGGCAAGGCGGGGAUUUCGCGUGGGGCGGCGCGGUGUCAGGGGGUGAGCUGGUCGCCGUUGGUCGGUUUGCGUUUCGGGGCCGCCGAAAGAGGGGAGAGGAGAGAGAGAGAAACGCGCCGAGGAUGAUGGGGAAGGGAGAGGAGACUCGCGAACCGAAGACACCGCUGCUCCUCGCUCUGUACUCCAGUCUAGGCUUCUAGCUAGACUCGGCGCGGUGGAGUGGGUGGGUGAAGAGACUGAGGCGCGGGGCCCGCGUGCAAGCAGGCAGGGCGGGCAAUUAUUGUCGCCUCUGGUGCCGUCGCUCGGUACAGAGGACGGACGGACGGACGGCGUGGGCAAAAUUUAAUCGGCGUGCAGCAGGUGCCGGCUGCCGCCUGCAGGCGCCGGUCCUUCGGAUUGAUCGGUGGAUGGAUGCACUCGCCAAUGGCAAUUCAUCCAUCAAACAUCAUUCGUUACUGUAUAUUUUGUGGCAAAUCAAGAUUAGAGGUUCAUCAUCCGUUUACCGUUUUGGUUUGUCCCCUGGCGUCAUCAUCACCGUCUGGGCUUUGGAACUGACAAUAUGGUUCUUUCGGUGAAAUUCAGGUGAAAGUAAAACUCCACCGGUAGAUAGCAGCGGCCAUGGUGCCGUCGUGGGAACAGAGCAGUACGUACGUUACGGGCUCGCGUCAAAUCCUCGACGGAACCGUGCCCGCUGCACCGGUGGGUGAACAGAACACCAUAAAUCCCUCGCGGCCGUGGAGAGAAGUCAGGGGAACCGCGUGUACGUACGUGGUCCUCUCCUGCUAGCUAUAGCUAGGCUGCCCCGUGCGACCGGCGGCGAGGAAACGGCACGCUCGGGAGCCGUCAACAUUGAAUCGGAGGGCCGGGCGGCCGCGAUAGCGUAGCGACCAGCGAGAUACUCAGUCAGUACGGGCUACUUCGGGCUGUCACGCACGCACCGAGCCGGACGGCCGGGCCGACGCGUCGGGCUUGGGAACCACCGGCGCCGCAGGGGCGGGCUCGGACCGCGUCCAACGCCGCAGGCUUUGCAAAGCUUGCGUUGCGUGUACCCCACGCUACCACGCGGGUCCCCUCCACCAAUCAAUUCCAGGCCGGACGGACGGCCGGUACCGUGUACCGACGCGUCGCCCGCCGGAUCUCCGUGGCGUUUUCCUUUGCCUUUAGUUGUGUACCCGCCCCGCUUCACGCCGGCCUUGUGCGGCAGUUGUGUACACACACGCACGCACUUGUACUACUACUGGUGGCCUUGGACUUUGCUGGUUGCUGGUGCGCACCCAGCUUUUUGCGAACGGUUCCGGGAAACGCCGGCGGAAACUUGUGCGGCGGGUCGGUCGGUUGCCGGGGAAGGAAGGAUUCUUCACACAAGCAACGUGAGAUCUGACCAAGGGGAGCAGCAGCCAGCCAGCACGAGCAGCAGUUCGGCGCUGGAGCUACGCGCGAGCUGGGGCAGGAGCUACACGCCAUGUACGUUGCGUCCCCGGGCCGGUUUGAUUUACGACCGGAAGAGCCGCAGCGUUUCCGGCGCGAUGACCGGACAAAUUAGCCGGCUUGGCCGAUGGCUAUACUAUAUCGGAUUGGACAUAUGGAGUGAUAGUGCUCCCGACAGGUAGGAGACGGACGGACGAGAGCGAGUAAACUGCUGCCUGCGACUCUGCGAGUCCUGCCGUGCACGGCUCCAUGGACGGACCGCACGUCCAUGGCCUGUGUAGCUCCGACCGCACCGGACGCAGGCAAGCGGGACGUGCUGUUCAUCCUGCAGACGGGACUGACCCAAGUUAUUGGAGACGCGUCGGCAUUGAAGCCUUUUCCAUUCUCAGGAGCAUGACGUAAUCACGGGAUCACGCACGGCGUGGGCAAAAGAUUACCAGCCGCGCCGCGCGUGCCUGACUGCCUGUGCAGCUGUGCUAUUUUGAGUGCAGAAUACAGUUCUUCAGAACCGCGCCUGUUUUUUGAGGCUAACUGAACAUGCAGUUCCAUACAAUUUCAAAACUCUACGUAUAAUACGGAAGGGUAAAAGAUACUGAGGCGGUCGAGACCACUGUCGCGACACGCGAAGCCUGAAAUCGUAGCGGAUUUACUUUUUCUUUCUCUCGGGGCAACGUCCAGCAACAGCAAGUGACUGCUUGCCGGUUCAUCUGGCCGGACUGAAGGUGCAGAACUAUCUGCUUCCAUGACCAUGUCAUCUUACUGAACUGAUGUUGAUGUUGAUCGAACGGAAACUUGGUAUUAGUGCAAUUUGCAUUUGGUAGACGGGGGGUGGGAUGAAGAAGCUGCAGCGCAUUGGUCAGGGCAGCAGAUGGAAAACGCUGGAGACGGAGGUCAAAGAAGACGCGCGUAAAGGAACCGGUCAGAACAGUGACUUCCUUACUGGAUUUAGGUGACAGGCUGAAAAUUGUUUAUACUUUGGCACGUUGCCUGGGACACAGCAGUGGACAAGUUCGGUUCGGAGAAUUCUAUCCUCCAGUCAUGUUCCUUCUCGGUGAUUAACUAUCAGCUCAUCUGCCAAUCACAUGUUCUGUGGUGACAGCAGCCAGCAAAAAUAACCGAACGGAUUAGUGAUCGCCUAGAUUAUGUAGCUCAAUUUGCAUGCGUAGUUUCAAACGGUAUAAAACGAUGCCUUCGAAGAAAUGGGAGUAGUAAAAAACAUGUGGACUCGAUUUGGGCCGGGCCGCGAUAUCUUCGGUUCUCCACCCUCUUACGCGCAGCGUUUCUUCUCAGUGUCUGCUCAUCACUUGCGUUAGCUUGUAUUGUUUGCCUUCGCUUAAUAUUAGUGCCAUGUUAUCAUGGCUCCAUCGCCCAGUCGAACGCCGGCUAUCAGUUCAAAUUAUGGAUAGUCUAUUGGCUUUGAAUAAUGCGUGUCCUUGCUCUGAUUCCGUUGAGUGUCAUUCCAAGAGUAGGUAUCUAUCAGAAGAAUUUUCAGCAAAUGUCAGUGCUGCUUGAAGUCAACGAGUACUAAUCACAACAUGUGUGAACAUUUGCCAUCCUCCUGCGGUGCACUCUGACCUGCAUUGGAGAGCUGUAUUGCAGCCUGAAGGUCUUCUUCUCUAUUCUACUUCUACAUAUCUACCCACGUGUAUAUGCAGUAUCCUCCGAUGGUUUAGCCCAUGGGCAAUGCAGUUGUCUGCUUCAAUUCUUGGUGUUUCAGAACUAGUAGUACUACUAGAUAUGAUCAGUAUGCUGGGGACAGGACAGUAUGAAUGUACGAUAGAUAAGGUCCUAGAACAUGGGCCACAGGUUAUGCAGAUCGCAGACACGAGUGUUUGGCUGGAACUGAUCUCCGAAUGCGAGACUCCGAGAAACGUUGAUGCCGCUUUCUGUCGAUCACCUUGAGCCAUUGUCCGUCUGCUGGCCUGGCAGGGAAAGUCUACGGAAUGCCAUCUCGAAAGCCAUGGAAAUUCUGUUUUGCCUGACAGAACUCUGGCGUACAUGAGCAACAGCGACCGGAGCGUGGUUUGCCUGCGUGCUUGACUGUAUGGUCACGACGAACACGAGGUGGCGACCAUCCGCCGCGUUAUCCAGGACUGCACCCGUCAGAGAAGGAUCCUUCACUUUUUGGGAAUCCAAUCACUUCGGGAUCCAUCAGAGCAGAAGACACGGCCAUUUCGCCGGCGGCUUUCCCCAUACAGUGCACAUCUCGUGAACUUCCGUCCAUAUUUUCUGGCCAAAUUUGCAAAGGAUUUGUGCUUUUCAGAGUGCAGCAAACGUAGCAAUACCAGGAAACUACGGAGUAGAAUAGGAAGGAACGUACGCCUGUUUGUUCGGGCGGCAAAGUCAGAGCGACACUCUCUCUACUUUGUUUGUUCGUCAGGCCAGGACGCCCGCCAAACCCGACAUGGAUAACUCCAUUAUUGACGAUGGAAAGUAGAAAUCUGACCCCGGGGGCACUAGCAGACGACACUAUCCACAUUGUCUUCACACACCGAGAAUAUGACAAAAUAACAUGCAUUCUUAAUUCACCUAUCGUCCCCAGUACACACCAUCAGAAAACAUCUUCGAUCUUCUAAGGCGUGGAUGCAUUAGGGGUGCGUAUAAAAAUAAUCAUACUCCUUCCGAUACAUAAAAAGUUUCCCACAUUUAGUACAAAAUAUGUACUCCCUCCGUCGAACAAAGGAUGUUUCAACUUUGAUUAAAUUUGAAUGCAUCUAUACACUAAGUCAUGUCUAGAUACAUUUAAAUUUUGACAAACUUGAGACAUCUUUUGUUGGACGGAGGGAGUACUAAUUUUAGUACAAAAUGUGUGACACUUUUUAUGAAUGGGGGGAGUAUCUCCUAGACUCUUUUGAUUCAAAUGAGUUAAUCCUUCAGAAUUUUUUCUAUGUAGGCUUAUUUCAUUCGUAGGAUUAGAUUUUAGUGGAAAUUUGCCUAUGGUUCACUUUGCACUGCAGUGAUGCAAACCAGAUUCCGCGAAAACCCACUUCUAGUUCAUUUUUCAAAUCUUCAAUUCAAAUUUUGAGCAAAAAUUUGGAUAAAAGACUUGAGAAUUGAACUAAAAGUUGACCAUCAAUGGGAUCCCGUUUGCAUCUCUACUGCUCUCAAUUCCAAAGUAAAUUUUCCAUCUAAAUCUAAUCACUUGAAAAAAUUCCUUUGUUUCCAUGAUAACUAUACCAAUGCACGUAAUGUUUUUCUCUGUUUUUCCUCUAAUGCUAGAUUGAGUCUGUUUUUCCUUUAAUGUUUUUCCAACUCGAUUAGUUUAUUCAGGUGGUUUCUUCCUGUAGAAAACAACAUAUCAUGACAUUUCAAUCUUGUGUUUGCUAUUUCAGGGCUCAUUCACUCUACAUGCGUUUUAGAUGAUUUUUCUACAAGAUUUCAACUCUUACACCUUGUUUGGCACAUGUGGGUUUCUUACGUUUUCUAUUUCUACUCUACAAUCUUAAAAUCAUGUUCUCCUUCUGACCUUUGUUCUCAAAUUUAUCUAAAUACGGAUGUAUCUAUGUUUAAAAAAUGUCUAUAUAUAUUUAUAAUAUUUCAGUAACUAAUAUGAAUCGGAGCAACUAACUCGAACGAGCCCUCGGUGUUUGAAUAUUUAAAUACUCCUGAAUGCAAGUAUAGUUCUGCACUCCUACUGCAGCUUGCUACCACGAAACUAAACAUUUCUCUUUCUGCAGCCCCCGACUCGAUCUAGCCGCAGUCCAUGUCGUUCUUUUCGCCCUGGCGUGUGCAAGAGUCGAACCCAUAGUGUGAACAAUUGAGUUAGGCACGAGCCGGAGAGGAGGAGAAAGGACAAAUUAUUGCUCAGAUUAAUCAUCACCUCGAUCGUUGCGGCGCAAUACCGUUAUAUAACGACGGAAUACGGGCCCACACGUCAGUGUAAAGCGAGCUGCUUGCCGCUUUCUCCCUCUUGCGUGACGCCGUCGCCGUCCAGAGCCAUCUGGCCACCGGGCUCCCAGCCCCCCACAGAUGUGCCCCCUGCAUGCGCGCCAUGUAUCAGCCUCUGAUACGUCAGGCCAGGAACCAUCCUCAGCCGUCAGUUCGUCCAUCUCGACGGCUGCGAUCGCGCUGCCGCCACUUAUAAAUAGCACCGAUGCACGCGCGAGAAAGUCCGUUUUACCUUGCUGGGGGGGGGGGGUUUUACUUACAUGAGCGCGGGAAUGGAGGCGGAGCUGGAGGCGGCUCAGCGGCGCUUCCGGCUCUGGUUCCGCGGGCUGCGUUCCCUGCGGCGGGACCUCCGGUCGGCCCGCUGGGCCGGCGACGACCCGGCCCAGCUGGGGAAGCUGGCGGGCGGCUUCGUGGCCCACUUCUCCGACUACUGCGCCGCGCGGGCCGAGCUGGACCCGGUCCUGCUGCUGUCGGCGCCCUGGGCGAGCCCCGCGGAGCGUGGCGCCGCCUACUGGCUGGCCGGGUGGCGGCCGACCACGGUGGUCCACCUGCUGUACACCGAGUCCAGCCGCCGGUUCGAGGCGCAGCUCCCUGACCUGCUCCUGGGCGUGCGGUCGGGCAACCUGGGCGACCUCAGCCCGGCCCAGCUGGCCCAGAUCGACGAGCUCCAGCGCCGCGCCGUCGCCGAGGAAGACGCGCUCUCAAGGGAGAUGGCGCGGCUGCAGGAGGGCCACGGCGUCGUUGGCGGAGACGGGGAUCUGGACGUGGAGGGGAUCGUGAGGCGCGCCGGGGCCGUGGUGGCAGGGGCCGACGCGCUGCGGCUGCGCACCUUGAAGCGCGCCGUGGAGAUCCUCGAGCCGGCGCAGGCCGCCGAGCUGCUCGUCGCCAUGGCCGACAUGGAGAUCGGCUUCCGGGAGUUCGGGCUAAAGCACGGCGACGGCGGUGGCGAGCCGAGCCGCGGCGCGUAGGCAUAGGCGUGGCGCGGUCCAGAGAGCAGAUCCUCAUCCGCAUCGGCGGCUCGGCCCAGUUUUUUUCUUCCAAGUGUUUGCGCUGGUUUGACUGGGACAGAAAGACUGCUCACUGUUGUAAUCUUGUUGCCGUGACGAUUGUCUUUGCCGAACUGUCUCGCGGUGGGUGCUGCGUCGUAGCUGGACCGUGUGCGUGUGCGUGUGCGUGCGCGUGCGCCUGCUGGGAUGUCGUGUGAGAAAGCAAUAAAAUGCAAGGAAUGCAUGCUUGGUUUCGUUGAGAAGUCAUAUUUUGUUUUCGAGCAAGCGGUUUUUUUAACAUCUUUUCCGAUAAAUUGGCUGUUUGUCUGUUCACUACAGAAGACCCGUCCUUUUAAAAACGGUUUUGCUAUUAAUAAAUCCAUGUUUUAGUUAGAGUAGUCAUAGGAUUUUAAUCCAAUGAUAGCAAGUGAGAGAUGAGAGAACGAGGAUGACUCUCAGAUCUCCAGCAGUUAUGAAACGUCGACUGAUAUUUAAGGUUCAUUUUUUAAAAACUUGCGACUUAGAAAUAGCCAUACCCAUUUAAAAAACGUGUUAAAUCUUAUUAAAAUAAGAUUCUGAUCGAUAACUUAUUUUUAAUAGGUAUUGCUACGGAAAAGUUGUUUUUCUAGUUAAAGAUAAGUUGAAACACCAACUGUCAUAUCUUGAUCCAACGGCGGCACAUUGAAGAUGGGGUGUAGCUGCUAGCUUCGGCAUUGAAGAUGGCGUCAUGGUAGGGAGAAGCUAUCAAGUUAUCCGAGAUAGAGGAGGCACUGAUGGAACACAUCCGCUUGCUAGGCUUGUAAUCGGACAAAUAAUUCAAACAGCUUUGCUAUUCAUAAGACAAUUGAGAAAUAAUUAUUUUCAAGCCGACGCUAACAAUCGUUUAAUCCAAUCUCUGAUAUGUGUGAGAUCUAUACAAGUGUUGUUGACUGAAAAUAACUGCUUCCUCCGCGCCUGGAUACUCGUCGUGGUCCGGAAAUCCAACCAGUUGUUCGUUCGAGCCAGAUCCAAACGACACCGGACAGACAACCACGGGCGGUUCUACCGUGCCGCACGGUCACGCGCCCAAUUAACCGGCCACACGGCCAAGCGAAUCCAGGAUUAAAAAUAGGAAUCGCGUACAAUUACCGGCCACCCAGCCAGGCAGCCCGCAACGAUAAACCAGCAGUCUCCCGCUCCAUGUUUGGGAGCCAUGCCCAACUACAAACCCAACGUUUCCAAGCUGGCCGCCGCGCCCCGCGACAUCCACACGGCAGAUUAACCCUUCUUCUCCUUUCCUUCCUUCCUCCCUCUCCGCGCGCGCGCGACCUCCCGCAGACCCGCCUCCGCGAAUCUAGCCACCCCCGCGCGUGCGCCACGCACCGUCCGUCCGUCGGACCUCGGCCGGGCCGGCCCGCGGUCGUCGGCGCGCGGAGGGCGUUCGUGAGAAUGCGUGCGGCGGCGAUUGGUUGCUAGCUAGCUAGCGGCAUGCCUGGCAUGAGCGCGUGAUGGCGCCGCCGUUCCUGAAGACCGGGCACGGCCGCGACAGGUUCUCCUUCAGGCGGCGGAAAUCGUCCUCCUCCUCGUCCUCCUCGUCGACGCCGUCUUCUCCGCUCUCGGUGUCGUCCACAGCGUCGGAGGACAUCGCCGACCCGGGCAGCCCCAUGGAGUCGUCAGCGACGACGGGCAAGACGCUGCCCUGCGCCCGGCGGGCGCUCUCGCGGAGCAGCUGCGGGUCCAGGGGCAAGCUGUCCGUCGACCUGAUCCCGCCGCCGCUCGCCGGCGGCCCGUCCGACGCGCCCAGGUCCUCCACCUCCGCCGCGCCGCCCCCCAAGCCUCCCCCCCGCAACGAGGGCCCGCCUUCAGGUCUCACCAUUGUUAAUUUUCUAGUGUCUGUCUGACUUUCUGUCGUCAAAUGCAGAGAAAUGCCUUGUUAUGUUUUCGUGAUCGAUUGCAUGUAUCCAGAUGCUGACAUCGUGAGGGACAAGUUCUCCAAGCUGCUGCUGGGGGAGGACAUGUCCGGCACCGGCAAAGGGGUGUCCUCUGCCCUCGCUCUCUCCAACGCCAUCACCAAUCUUGCAGGUAAUCUCUCCCUUACCUUCCAUUUCCGAUCUUUCCAUUUCCAAUAACAGUCCCUGUCUUUCAAAUCUUCCCAUUCUGUCCGUUGGGUUCUGAUGGAUACUGACACGAUCAGCUAUGAUUUCUUUCUCAUGACGUGGCACAUUGCAGCUUCCGUGUUCGGUGAGCAGCGGCGUCUCCAGCCGAUGGCCGCAGAGCCGAAGGCCCGAUGGACAAAAGAAAUUGACUGGCUUCUGUCCGUUGCCGACCACAUCGUCGAAUUCGUUCCUUCACGUCAGGUGUCCGAGGAUGGCUCCACCAUGGAGGUCAGAAACAAGAGGAUCCUUGCUUAUCACAAGUACCUGGAUGUAGUUCUGUAUCACGGAACAUCUUUAUGCAAAUCCAAUUACAGCGGUGCUAUUUUUCUCUCUCUCCCCCCAAACAGAUAAUGAUGACUCAGCAGCGUAAGGAUCUGCAGAUGAACAUCCCCGCACUGCGCAAGCUCGACGGGAUGCUCCUUGUAAAGCUCUGCCACAUUCUUCUUUGAAAUCAUUUACGAGAAUGACAUGCGUGGAGAUACCUGAUGAAUUGCUAAUAUGCUAUGGCUGCACAUUUCCUGUUGUGGGGGCACAGAGCUAUCUUGACAGCUUCAGGGACAAGCAGGAGUUUUGGUACGUGUCGAAAGACGCAGAUGACUCGGAGAAGGGAGACGCGCCGAAGCAGGAUGACAAGUGGUGGCUCCCGACUGUCAGGGUCCCUCCUAAUGGUCUGUCGGACUCGUCGAGGAGGUGGCUUCUACACCAGAGGGAGCUCGUCGGCCAAGUCCAUAAGGCAACAAUGGCCAUCAAUGCUAAUGUUCUUAUGGAGAUGGAUGUUCCAGAAGCCUAUAUGGAGUCUCUGCCUAAGGUGACCCAUAUGAACACAGCAACAUUGCAUAACAUUUUUCUUUACUUCGGUUCACUGCAUUUAGAGGGAUCGAGACUCACUUUGACAGCAUCUUCUUUUUUUAUGCUUGAUAGAAUGGAAAGUCUAGCCUUGGAGACUCAAUGUACAAGCUUAUAACUGACGAAUAUUUUGACCCAGAAGAACUCAUAGCAUCAGUAGACUUGUCAGCCGAGUACAGCAUCGUUGAUCUGAAGAACCGAAUCGAAGCCUCGAUUGUCAUUUGGCAGAAGAAAAUGACGCAGAAGGAUGCCAAGAUGUGGGGGCAUGGUGUCAGUCAUGAGAAGCGGGGACGGUUUGAGGGGAGGGCGGAGAAUGUUCUUCUCCUCCUUAAGCACAGAUUCCCCGGAAUUUCUCAGUCAGCUCUGGACAUAAGCAAAAUCCAGUACAACAGGGUACUGGCAACCAUCUUCAAUUUUCCACUGUAUUUUCGGAUUUCCUACAGUACUUUAUUACUCAUGCUCAUUGCAUACAUUUUCUCGUUGUGAUUUUUUUGCAGGAUGUUGGCAGUGCCAUUUUGGAGAGCUACUCCAGGACUCUUGAGAGUCUAGCAUACACGGUUAUGUCUCGCAUCGAAGACGUUCUUCGCGCCGACUCCCUUGCUCAAGACCCCAAGAACGCGGAGGCGACGAGAAUGCCGAGCUUAUCAUCAGAUGACACAGACACGGUCGUCCAAGAUGCCAAGGACGAGGUGGAGAGGCUGGGAAGAAUGGAGCCUCUGAACUCGACACUAUUCGACUACGUGGGCCCACGGGACGGAGAUAUCGGGCCCAUGAUGUCGGAUUCACAGGAACCUCGGGGUGCAAAGCUGUCAAAGGUUUCGUCGAUCGCAACCAAGAGGUUCUCCUACCUAGAUAAGCUUGAGAAUUUGGGUGGAACAAGGAGCCCCAUAUCUAGACACUAGUCGCUGCCGUAGGGGAAAAGACGAUCAAUAUGGUGUUGAUGUUGCUGCAGAGACUCCGGGGAAAACUGCACGUAAAUAGCUCCGCAAAAACUGAGGGUGCAGCAUGCAUUGUGAGGUUUAUGUAAGCUUUCAAGCUUUCAGGCACCAAUACCUCCAAUUUGGUGCAGUUGCCAAGACAAUGUGAUGACGAUUCUCCUGCUAAAUUUACAUGAAAUAACCACAAGAUUCUGACACUGGACCUGAAAAUGGACCUCCAGAUUUUCUUACUGUACUUCUGUAGCAAAGUUUUGUGGUUCCAGUAAAGUGUUUGUUAUCUUAGACUUGACUUGCAGACCAUGCUUGGGUUCGGCUAGUGUUCUCCCCACGUACAAUUUAAGAGGGUAAUAACAUAUCACUGAACUUGGAGAUCGAUCUGUGUUAGCUUCUGGCGUUCUAGAUCGGCACUGUAAUAAGUAACUGUAACUGUACCAUGGCUCUAUGCAUUGGGAAAUUAAAACCACUCGUAUGAGUAAAUCAAUUUACAGGAACAAAUGAGCAGUAAAAAGCAUCCUUCCGGUUGCUGAUAGUACGUGCAGCUAGGCACGCCAUAUGAGUACAUACAACGAAGGACUUAACGUCCAGAUACGCAGAUCCAUGGUACACAAGCACAGGCAUAUGCAGGAACAGAUUCAGAGAGAGAGAGAGAGAGAAAGAAACUGAAACCAAAGCUUUAAUCAAAUCAGAUCAGAUCUUGCCGCGUGGGCCGGGGGUGGGGGGAAGCUGCGGCCCCUUCUUGAUGGGCAGCAGGUCCGGCGACGUGGUGGCGCCGAGGUAGGCGAUCAGGGACCCGCCGCCGAGGAGCAGGAACUUGAGCAGCAGGCCGCGCUUGGUGAAUGGCGCCGCGAAGGUCUGGAAGAACUUGCUCUGCAGCCCGUUGUAAGGGGACGGCGCGUCGGACCCGUACAG